GGUGUUGAUUGCGAUGAGGGUCCACCUGUUCCCAUCCCGAACACAGAAGUUAAGCUCAUCUGCGCCGACAAUACUUGGUGGGUGACUGCCUGGGAAGAUAGGUAAUGC
rnacentral:rRNA from 1 species